rnacentral:rRNA from 1 species
GAUGAACGCUGGCGGCGUGCUUAACACAUGCAAGUCGAACGAUGAAGCCCAGCUUGCUGGGUGGAUUAGUGGCGAACGGGUGAGUAACACGUGAGUAACCUGCCCUUAACUCUGGGAUAAGCCUGGGAAACUGGGUCUAAUACCGGAUAGGAGCGUCCACCGCAUGGUGGGUGUUGGAAAGAUUUAUCGGUUUUGGAUGGACUCGCGGCCUAUCAGCUUGUUGGUGAGGUAAUGGCUCACCAAGGCGACGACGGGUAGCCGGCCUGAGAGGGUGACCGGCCACACGGGGACUGAGACACGGCCCAGACUCCUACGGGAGGCAGCAGUGGGGAAUAUUGCACAAUGGGAGCAAGCCUGAUGCAGCGACGCCGCGUGAGGGAUGACGGCCUUCGGGUUGUAAACCUCUUUCAGUAGGGAAGAAGCGAAAGUGACGGUACCUGCAGAAGAAGCACCGGCUAACUAUGUG